CAAGGCGUCCCGGGGUCCGAUGAUGAAAGAUAAGCGGGAGACCGUUUCGAGGCGCUCCGAAAGGCGGACCCUUAUGGCCCAGAAGUCAUUUGUGUCAGGCGUGAAGUGAAGGCGCCUCGGCAAACGGGGAGAAAUAGUCCUAUUUAUAUUGUUUAAAAAGAAAAAGAAAAAAAAGAAAGAAAGAAAGAAACGGCACAUGGUAGAAACAUCUGGACUUCUUCAUCAAUACACUUCACUCAGCACAGAUGAAAAUCGGAAUACCUCAAAACAUUCCAAAGACUCACCAUUGACAUGCAGAUUGAAGCAGAAAUAAAUGCAGAAAUGAGAUGUGGAAACUCUAGAGAGUGCCUGAGGUUCUCCUAUAGAGGGUAUGCAUUGACAUCACUAUUCCUGCCAGAACACCCCCCCUCGGCUGGACUGAGUGGCAAAACAUCCAGCAAAAUGGCUGGUUUCAAUAGGGGAAGCUGCAAAAAUGCUAGUAUAACUAACAAUUAUCAGCUUAAAUUAAAGGCAGUUGGACUCGACAGUGACCCUUACAACUUGCCAAGAACCUGUGGUCCAUGGACAUUAACAUGUGGCCAGAAAUCGGUUUUCCCAACAUUUAUAUGUACCUGAUUUUGACGCAAAUACAAAUACAAAUACACUAAACAAAAAGGACGAAUGCAUACAAAAGCCUUGACGCUUGGUCCUACUUCUAGGCGGGAUUUGUUGGAGAAAUUAAAGUGACAAGAACACCAAUAAACAUUCUGGUUGUAUGUGGACAGGUAUAAACAAAUAUCUUUAUUUUAUGAUAUAAUUUUAUCUGGUAAACCCUAAGCUAGCUAGUCCUAGUUUGUUUGUCGUUAACACUGCUUCCACAUACUAACGUUAUAUAUUUGUGAAGGUAAAACACAGUCAGAGAAUGAAUGAGCCCCCCAUUAUUCAUCAAUGGAAAUAGGCAGAGUUUAAAAAGAAAUACGUAGUUAAUCAUUCAACAUUGUACAACAUGAAUACCAUAUGCAAAAAGAACUUACAAUUACACUGCUAGACUCAAUUAAAAAAGGAGUGAAUGUUUUUUUUUGGCACUCUGUAAAAAGAUAGCUCUGAAUUCUUGUUGAAUCUGUUAGCACAGUCGAUCUCACAACAACUUUUUCCUAUUUUAGAUGUGUUUUCGUGGAAUUCACACUGUACACUAACUGCAGCGAGUUCCGGCUACCAUGACAUAUAGAGGUGCAUCCCCUCUAUAGGAUGCGCUGCCAGAAUGGACGUCCAUAUAGUUUUCUCUCACAACAAAAAGUGUACCGCUGUUCUUCCUUUGUCUAGUUUCUCAUUAAAAGUGGAAUAUUGCUUUAUUCAUGUUUUAUUUACAUGUACUCUUUCAGUUCUUGGUACACUUUCCAUUCAACCACCCCUCCCCCUUUAAAAAACCCUAAAAGCAUAUGGAAAUAAAAUACCAAAUCCUUGGCUAAGGUUAAAUGCCUAUGCCUAUAAUUUAAUUGGAGGGUUUAGUCAGUAAAAGUGAAAGUCAUUCUCCAAAUCUCAGUUCAAGCAAAAUGAUGAAAGCAUCCCAUCUUAAAUCAAUUUCAU
ensembl:lncRNA